UACAGAGAUGACAACCGUUAUUCGGAAUCACUGGGCUUAAAGGGCACGUAGGCGGUGAGUUAAGUUGGCUGUGAAAUCUCAUGUUUUAAGCAUGGAACGUCAGCCAAUACUGGCUUGCUUGAGGAUGGCAGAGGAGAGUGGAAUUCCUGGUGGAGCGGUGAAAUGCGUUGAUAUCAGGAGGAACACCGGAGGCGAAGGCGACUCUCUGGGCCAUACCUGACGCUGAGGUGCGAAAGCUAGGGGAG
rnacentral:rRNA from 1 species